rnacentral:rRNA from 1 species
UACGUAGGGGGCAAGCGUUGUCCGGAAUCAUUGGGCGUAAAGCGCGUGUAGGCGGUUCGGUAAGUCCGCUGUGAAAGUCGGGGGCUCAACCCUCGGAUGGCGGUGGAUACUGUCGAGCUUGAGUACGGAAGAGGCGAGUGGAAUUCCUGGUGUAGCGGUGAAAUGCGCAGAUAUCAGGAGGAACACCAAUUGCGAAGGCAGCUCGCUGGGACGUUACUGACGCUGAGACGCGAAAGCGUGGGGAGCAAACAGG